AAAGUCGACUUCCUGUACGUAGGUAAUGGUUGCCGUGUAGUCGAGCGGAACGGUGGAACUCCACUGAAAAAUGUGAUGUUUUCCGAGUUUAUCUUUCGAGUGGUGUGGAUUACCUGAAGACAGCGCGCCGACUACUACUAUCAGUCAUGAUCAAAGACAGGAUAUCGGCGCUGAAAGCGGCGCAGGCAGACGAAGAUGACAUGGAUGGAGACGUGGCCGUCACGAUGGAGACCCCUCCGACAUUCAUGGAGGACUUCUUUGCGGAGGUGGAAGAGAUUGGGCAAAACAUUGAAAAGAUUGAAAAGAUAGUGCUUGAAAUGAAAAAGAAGCACAGCGCAAUACUUUCAUCACCUCUCCAAGACGAAAAAAUGAAGCAGGACUUGGAAGAACUGAUGGCUGACGUUAAGAGGAUCGCGAAUAAAAUGAGAGUGAAGCUGAAACUGAUGCAACAAAAUAUUGAGCAAGAGGACCAGUUAGUUGGAAACAGGUCGGCCGAGCUCAGGAUACGAAAAACACAGCAUUCAACGCUUUCUCGCAAGUUUGUCGAAGUCAUGACAGAGUACAACAAGAUCCAGAAUGACUACCGUGAGCGGUGUAAGGAUCGCAUCAGGAGGCAACUGGAGAUCACGGGAAAAAUGACAACGGAUGAAGAAAUCGAGGAGAUGCUGGAGAGUGGGAAUCCAGCCAUAUUCACUCAGGGAAUUGUGAUGGAGACGCAGAAGGCCAGGCAGACGUUGGCGGAAAUCGAAGCCCGCCACAACGACAUCAUCAAGCUGGAGAAGAGCAUCCGGGAGCUUCACGACAUGUUCAUGGACAUGGCCAUGCUGGUGGAAAGCCAGGGAGAAAUGGUGGAUCGCAUUGAGUACCACGUGAAGAAUGCUGCAGCCUAUGUCGACACUGCCACGCAGGAGACGCGACGAGCUGUUCGUUAUCAGAGUAAAGCACGCAAGAAGAAAAUAAUAAUCCUAGUCCUGAUUGUGGUCAUCGUCGUCAUCCUGGCCAUAAUCAUAUUCGUCUCGGUGCGGAGAUGAAAGGAAAUGAAAGGACAACGACAUGACUUUCUCGUGCGCAACGAUCCUUGGCGGCAUCAGAAAUAUGCAGCGCAUUUUGCUUUUCUCGUUGUAACGGGCGGCAUUCUGCACUACCGACGGGAAUGAGACAAGCCUGCUGCACGUUUUGUUAGAAAUGUUCCAUUGAAUUUUUCAGUUGUUUUCUCGGUUUAUAUUCUCAGUCAACAACUUUUGUGUUUUAGAAUACACGUACUGCUUGUGCCAGCUGUUUUAACAGGCUCCAGUGAAAGCACAAGCGGUCUACCUAGAGCCCUCGGCUUAGAGGACAGAUACAGGGACCAUGUAUAACUAUGUACCGGUGCCCGAAAUGACCUUAGGCUGAUAUCUUCUAUCAGCUUGGGCUUGCAUACUGGAUACGUGACGUGCAUUUUUCAGUGUAGACAACUGAGAGUAUAGUAUUGUGAUGCUGUGUAUGGUGCCAUCAUCUUUUUUUCUUUCUUUUUUUUUUAAAUAGAAGAUUAGAGGUUGCAAUUGUAGCAUAAAAACAUUCGCAGCCUUGUCACUUGCGUGUAUCCCUUUCUGGUUAAUCUGAAUGACGCUACCUACAGCACCAGCAAUGCCUAAAAGGCUAGCCGGUACCAGGUCUCUUUUGACUUGGUCGCGUGCACUGCUGUCAAAUAGGCUCGCACAUUUCUCAACCGGCAUUGCUUCAGUGUUGCGCAUUUUGCUAAAGCAAAGGCGCCGGUCGUCUUUCUGUAUGCUGCGUGUGCCCUUUAUGCAUGCAUAGUUGACUACAGCAGAUAGAACACACUCUCUGGAUGAGUUAUUUCUCUUUUUUUUUUUAAAUUACAUGUGGCACAAUGCUUGUGUUGCGAAUGCAGUAAUUGUGCCGUUCUAUAAGACUCGUCUUGCUCCCCGAUUGCAGUACUGUAUACCCUUUCAUAAACACCAGCUAAUUUUAUUUGCAAUAACCACUUUAGUUCUAUCAUUUAGUUCUUAUUUCCUUUUUUUAUAUAUAUGUGUAUUCAGCAUCAUUUUUUUUUAUUGGUUGCUCUGGACCACAUGAACGGCUAGUUGUGUAUCUGAUUAUAUUUCUUAAGCAUAUUGUACAUGUUUGGUGUACGCUAUGCAUGAGGUGCGUGCAGUAGGAAGUGAAACAGAAAUUAAGUGGCACCGGUAGCUUUUCACUGUUGUACAUCUGUGAUCUGCUGGAAUUUGUGCAGAUUUUUUUUUGUCUUGUUAUUGAACGGUACUCAUUCAUAUUAGUGCUGAGUAACUCUCAGAAGUAAAGAAACAUUAUUCUCUUGGCACCUUCUUUGAGUGCAACCUUCAGCGCUAUUUGUAAACAUCGAAAUGAUUAACGUAGCGAACAUUUCCAUUGCACCAUUAAAAAGAAAGAUCUGUGGUUUCAGUAAAAGAUUUAAAAGGGUGCUUGAACUAGGUUCAUGUUGAACACACCUGAAACACCUCUUUCACAUGAAUUAGAUGAAUCACAUCAUCUGAUCGUAUGUUCAAGGCCCACUCAGUAGGCAGGAAGUAGGCAGGAAUGCAUUUCAUUUUCAUGUUAGUUAUUCAAGCUUUAAAUGAAUCUUUGGCUGCAUCGUGGCAUCUGAAAGAGAACUGAAAGAGGCAUUUGAAGAGGCUUUAGGCCAGCACACAUUGGGCAGUUCUAUGAGGAGAGGAAUUUUUGAAUGCUUUAAACAAUUUAAUUGCUUUAGAACUCUUUUCCUUUUUUCCGGAACUGACAAGCUGACAUUGGAUCGCUCAGAAAAAGAUGCCAUUGUUUGGCACUCAGAUCUGAAUGUUUUGUACGGGUUGUUUGAAAACAACGAAAGCUGAUAAAAGCAUGGAAUAGCGUUUGACAUAAGACAUUUGGAGGCAAGCUUGGCCAAAAGUCGGGCAUGCAAAGUGCUUCCAUGUAUAGGCUAUCUAGUGAAUGUUGAUUGUCACAGUGUGCACUGUUUGUACGUGAGCAGAACUGUGCGUACAAUGCACAUUCAGAAAGAAAGUUCCAGUCGGUGAUCAACUGGGCAGUGAGGAAAGCCUGAUAUCAGAGACCAGAGUGUCUUUGUCAGGGCAGUAGCUGCUUUCUUUGACAGAGUUUAUGUACCCUUAUUUAUCACAAGGGCAGGGAACCUGCGCAGCUGUGAAGUCUUAUAUUAUAUAUUUUUUUCAUUUAUUUACAAGAAAACUGCAGGCUUGAGAUAAGGGCGCUUGCAGGAGCAGAAAAAAAAUAUGCUACAGACAUUUAAAAUGAAACAGUUAUACAAGACCAAGCAUAAACAACAACUACAAAAACUUCAAGCUCAGAAAAUUGGAGAAUAGCAAUAAUUAGAACUUUUCAAAGGGUUACAUGAUCACUGUAAAAUAGAAAUAUGCGGGCAAGAAGACGACGUAGUAAAUACAAACACACAUUGUCAAAAGCAACGAGAAAAGGGUUUACGAAAUUUAACCAUGUUCAACCACUGUUGUUCCCGUUGUCUUAGGUUAGUGCACUGUAUCGGCACUUCCAACUUGACAGUAUGCUUAUGUUGUCUUAUAAAUUAGAAAGUUCUUUCAUUUGCUGUGUUUCUAUGGCAAUAACCGCCUUACAUCAUAAACCAAAGACAAUUUAGAUUGUAUGUUACUUUGUGUCUCUGAAAGAGCCACUUUUAGACUGACUGCUUGUUGACAGUAGUCAGCUGUACGUUUUUCUGCAACACAUGAAGUGAAACCUCGUUAAUACAUACUUGCUUUAAAUGUACUAAUGUUUAACACAUAUUCGCGGUGAGGCGUCAACCUAGUCUUCAUAGAGCCUGAUGUCUUUGCUGACCAGUUAGGCUGCUGUGGUUCAUUCUGCGCCUGUUGUUUAGUGCAAACUGUGUUCACUUUUUGUCACUAUUAUUUAACGGUGCCCCUCAAUUUAUGGUGUGGCUAAAGCCACAGUCAAAGGGGCCUCCCUACUUUUAUGUAAGUGUAGAGACUAGUCGAUGAGUGAUUCCAACUUCGGAAAUUGUGUGGCGUUUCUUUACGGAUAAAUGUCGGAAAACCGAGGUUGUACUAUAACGGCCACUUACAAAUGCACCAGUACACCUUAUUGCCAACAACCCUAUCACGAUGAGCAUUUUCAGCUGUCUGCUCGGCAGCAUACAUGUGGUGUAGUGUUGUUCUCCAAGAAAAAUAUACUCGUAAUAUAUGACACUAAAAUGUACACUGAACAAUCGAAAUGUCUCUCCCAUUAACAUUUUUUGCGUGUAUAAUUUUCUAAACGCGUUGACGAUGCGAGCAAUCAAAACUGAAAACAGCCACAAGCUGCCGUACUACUUGCGGAGCAACACGAAUGUGCGGAAGCCCCGCCUCCAUAGCCUUCGCUCCGCUGUCAAAAUAAGUUGUCGCCGAGUAUAGCUAGGGACGAUUGGCUCCAUGCAGCACCAAGUGCCGCAUUUCAAUGAAACGGCGCCAGUUAUCGCUUUGCCACAAUGUUAGCAGGUGCGCAUGUUCCCUGUCAAAGUUUCGAAAUGCUCCUCGACAUUUCCACUGCUCAUUUUUUCUCAGUUGUGUGAAAGGGGGGGAAUAUUUUCCGCCCUUUAGUAUAUUAAAAAAAAAAAAAUUCCCUGUAGAGCCUACUUUCAGCAUCGUUGAUUGUGGCAUUGCAUUUAUUUCUUCAUUGAUAAUGGCAGCACACAUCUAGAUGCUAAAUUGUACUUGGCAGUUACCACAUACUGCCGUUUAGUGCGUAGUCGUGUCAUGUUCCCAUCAGGUACGUAUUAACGAGGUUUCAAUGUGUCUAGAUCACACCUGCAUUUGUUUUCUCUGUUGUCAUUGCAGUAAUUAAAUGACAUGCAUAUUUGUUUACAACUGUAUCAAGUGAUGGCAUAUCAUUAUCUACACAUUGCUUUUCCUUUAUUUAUCAAUGUUGUACAGAGCUAGUGCGGUAGACGUUUACUGAAGCUACAAACGCACGCAUAGUUGUGAUUUCUAGUCCAUGGUUUAUUUCUUGCUUUCUUUAUUGUUGAAACUUGUGUUUAGUCAUUAUAACGUUCCUGUAUUUUGCAUGUUUGCAUGGAUACCCCGUGUACACACAUUUGCAUGUUAAAAUACUGGGUGUUUCACAAAAUGCAAUGGGAAAUACCUUUAAAAUAGGGAAGAUGAGAGAAUUAAGUUACUUUCUCUGUGUUGCCUUCGCCAUAUAGGCGUGCAUUUGUAAAUCAUUCAUUCUUCUCAUCUUUGCCAGUUUUAAGGAAUUCCGACUGUGUCUCGUGAAACAUUCGCUAUUUGUCGAUAACCACGAGUAGAUAUUGAUAUGAAUUUGCCCGAAUGUAUUUAUGAGUAUUGUUUGGGAAGAAAGGGGCACUUAUGUGAGUGAUGCUUUUUACGAUGUUUCUUUUAAACCUUUCUUUUUGAAGACGACGGUUAGUCGUUUGGCAAGUGGGGGGGGAAGGUUUCAUAUUUUUAUAUCUGUACCGGUCCGUGCCAGAAACAUUGGUUAUGUCCAUCCCGUCAGUAAAAUAGCACAUGUUGCUAAGAUGACAAGCGUCGUUUCCUCACAACGACAAAAACGUGUCAGAUUUCGUGGUUCAAAGUUUUCGUACGUAACAGCGAGUUUGCGGGUUGCACGACAGGAAAAGACUGGAAUGUCAGUUGCAGCUAGUCCAGUGCUGAAUAGUGUGUCUCUCUCUCCGUCUCUCUCUCUUCCAAAUUAACUUUAGCUUGUAAUGUUCCUUUUGUUAUCUUCCGCAGCAAUAAUAAUUCAGGGCAAUUAAGGAAAGUGACAGCAAUAUUUUUACACUGCUAUAAAUUAGUAGGUUGUUUUGAGCUUUGUAUGGCAGGACAUUAUCCUGACAAGGCUCUUUUAAAUGCUGCUUCUCUUUUGGAAACGCAGUGGUUAAGAAAAAUCGCUGCAUCUAGAAUAUUUCUGCUCAUGCACAAUAAUUUUUAUUUUGAUGUUCUGCAAGUGUGUAGAUGCAUCUAUAUAUCUUACGCGUGGCUUUCGUUUUCACGCAUGCAUACUAUGCCUCUAUUGUAUGAAACUUUUGUUUUUAUAGUGUCAGACAGAUCGAGCCUAUCGUGGUGGAGUUUGUGACCUCAUCAGUUCAGCGUGAGAUGAAAAGAAUCUAUUAAGCUGCCCCCCUCCCUUUCCCGUUUUUUUUUUCCUCGGUUUUAGCUGACUUCAGCCAUUUAUACUAUGGUUGUAUAUGUACAAGAAAGCUGACGAUUAGCUAUAACACAAAGUAUGAGUGUUUUAAUAACUUAUUGUCUACGAAGACCAGCUAAUGAGAGAAUGACUUGUGUUUUUGAGUCUGCAUCAUGUCUAUUAGAUACGGCAGCACGUGUGUUUGUCUAAACACGAUGUAUUGAGCACUGACACGCUCGCUUGGAGAAGAGAAAGCCCAAGAGCUCAGGGUUCACUUUUUAGGUUAUCUUGACAUGAUAUAAGCACCUUUAUCAGAAGUGCUUUAUCAUUUUCCAUUGUUUACCCUUUUCUUUACUAUAAACUAGUCCUGUUGCUCGGUGACCACUGAUGUCUAGAUGAUGUUUUAGUGGAUUAUAAAAGCUUUUCUCAUGUGCCACUGGCAAGGUACAUUUGUGUGUUCCCUUUUCAAGAUUUGCUUGAUUGUAAACUAGUCUUCUAUUUGAUAGAAUUUUUACUACCUUGCUUUCCAUAACAUAAUGUCAGCCAUGAUGACAGCGGUAUUUCAAGCACAGUACAGAUAGGGUUAGUGUGUGUAAUUUCUCUCUGAAUUUCUUUACAGCUAUGUCAGCUCUUGUGCACAUGAAGAAAUGCACAUUGUUUUUUUCUGCGUCAACACAGCAUGAAGGCACAGACACUGUCGCAUCAUUUCCUUUAUUUUAGCAUCAUGUGCCAAAUAUUCACAGUGGCCUCGAAGUCUUUCGGUUAUUCCUUGUUUUGUGGCAUCUUGUUGCAACAAAACCUUUGUAAAGGUAUCAACCUAACGCAUAAGGCAAGAUUAUUGGUAUCGGAAUUUGAUUGGCUCUGUACAUACACUGUAUGCUAGUUAAUAACUUAUUCGCAGUAACUGAAUUGCCUAUGUGCGCGUAAGAUAUUCUUUUUUGUGAAGUACAGGAGAGAGCUCUUGCUGACUGCCGAACUCUCCUGUUGCAAAGACUAUUCUGCGUUCUCACCUGCUUAUUAUUCGAACCAUGAGUAUUUGGCCAUAUUACAGUAGUGUCCCGUAGUAGUGAUGCGUGACAUAUCAAAUGUUGCAUGAAAAACAUUGUUGCUUGAAAAAUAAAUGUUGCAUGAAAAAGGAAGGCAAGUAUAUAAAUGACUCUUUCAUAAAAGGUGCUCAUUCAGUUGUGCCCAAAAUUGACACAUGCAAGGCACUUAGCGGUGUAUUUUCUUUAACUUCAUUUUUGUUACGCACAGUACUUGCUGUUCUUAUACAGGACGAAUAUUAUACGGUGUAAAAAAAGCAGAGUGCAUUACUGGUGACAGUGACAACCAAGAACGCAAACAAGAAAGUGAAAAAUCAGAAUACUACCGCCCGUUUUCAGCUAUGGUAGUACCUUGCGUGAGUGGCUGAGAAGGAGGUCAUGUGGAGAUCGUGUCAGCUCGUCUGUUUUGGCUCAGGCAGUUUUACCUGAGGAGCAGCAGAACUUUCUGCGGCAGUUUUUUACGCAACGAAGUUGUAGAUUGGCACAUGUAAAAUGUUCGAAAGACUCCUGGGUGAGUAAUCGAUUGAUGUGACUCCACCACAUGUUCCUCGGCAGUAAUCAAGCCUUACAACUAUCGUGCCUGUCUUUGGCUGCAUUGAUGUGACUCGAGAAGUGGAAUAGUCAGGAUCAGUAGGGUACAAAACUUUUUAAGAAAAGGAAUGUGUGAAUGAAUAAAUAAAAGCUCAUAUAGAGUUCACAAAUAGCUGCGCCAAGCUUAAUAAUUCGGUUCCUGUGCCGGCAGUAUUAUUACAUCCACUUUCUUUUUUGCACGUAAGAGUUUACGACAUUACCGAAAUUUUCUUUUUUUGCGUGAACAUGAACCACCGCAUGCUGGGGGCAGCUGUCAUGUCUUGCAAUAAUUUCAACCACUCUGCAGGCUUUUAGUGAUGAGAAGUCGUAAAGCAGGAAAUCUCUCUGGAGCUGACGUUUUGACAAGAUCUGUAUACUUUUACAAGCAAACUAAAGGAAAACUGAGUGAUUGCAACACACAGAAAGCACAAAAGUAUUGUGAUCGCAGGUGCCUAAGUGAUUUUAUGUGGUUGUUCUUGCCUGCUCUUUGAAAAACAAACCACUCUGUUUACUUAGCGUUUAAUUAGCAUAUUUUCAACUUGCUGUUCUGAUUUAAUUGCCCUGUUUGCAUUUCUGGUAGUGCAAGUUAUUGACAUAGUGUAAUAGCAUUGUGUUCUUUUCGAAUUGUUCAUGUUAGUAAGGCACAUUAGGGGGUAAAUAUACUUGUAUGUCAGGGUCAUAUUGCAUAACUAGUCGCAUCAUUUACUAGAGGGUAAGAAUUUCUUAUUACUAUGCCAUAAGCUAUAGUGGCUAUGAGAGAAUACUUGUGCCUCGAGGCUAAUCAUAAGUUUUUGUUCAUGCACUGUAGAUUUUGUGUCUUGAAAUAAAUCUUGAUGUUCCAUCAUUUACAAGUU
rnacentral:misc_RNA from 1 species